GUUGUGUAAGGAGACCAAAACAGUAUUCAGAUGCGGGGUGCUCCCGGCCUGGGAUUAGCCCUUUGUUCUCCUCUAAAAUGCAAGAAUGUGUCUUUGAAGGCUUGGGCGGGGUCACAGCCAAUCUCCAAUGGAGCCGGGGCGUGUUUGCCCUGGGUGGGGGCUCUGCUGGUUGAUUCAGCCUGACUGGACUUCCUCCAGGUUUCCAAAGUGCAGCUGCGACGCCGUGCUCCCAGCCUUCCAGUUACGGAAUCCCUCCUAAUGGGGUCCAGACUGAAAGCUGCAGCCUCCAGGGGUGGGGACAAGAAAUGACAAGACCCCAAUGAUGAGCAGAGUGGGAACAUUCCAGAACAGCAGAAGGCCACAUUGGCAGGCUCUGGUGCCUGGUGCCUGGGCUGGGCGGUGCGCAGAAGACGGGGCACCCUCUGAGAUGGGGCGGAGCAGCCGGAGGCGACCCCCGGGCGAACCUUGGAGGCAGAUGGAAAACACACACGAAGGCAGCGGCUCGUGCAGCGGCGGCGUUGGCACACGGACGCUCGUGUAAACAUGGGUGGAGUAGCAGCUCCUCAGCCCUGAUGGCAUGGAGCAAGGAGUCUUAACACGUGUUUGUCUCCGGAGAAGAAAGUCUCUGAAAUCAUCACUGCCAUUAUUUUGACUGGAAUUUCCGUGAAGGCGGGGUCUCAACUGUUGUUCAACCCACAUAUCCUCCGCACUCAGCCCGGCGCCGCCACUACGGAGGCCUCAGAGGAUCAGGGAAGCAGGCCAGGGCCCACGUCUUCCUGCCGAUGGGCUGGGCAAGGCUGAGCUAAGGCGUUGAGCAAGGAGGUUUUCAGCCCAGCCCGUGUGCUCAGCGGUUGGACAUUGACCUAUGAACUAGGAGGUCACGGUUCAAUUCCCGGUCAGGGCACAUGCCUGGGUUGCAAGCUUGAUCCCUAGUUUCUGAUCAAUGAUUCUCUCUCAUAAUUGAUGUGUCUCUCUCCCUCUC